rnacentral:lncRNA from 1 species
AUGACACAAGGAGUCAUCCUUGUGCACAAGGAGUGGCUUUGUGCCCUCCAGGGGUUGAAGCGCUCACAGUGCUAGAGGACACCAGGAGAGGGCAGCAGAGAGCUGGAGAGACCUUUGGUAGAGGCCCCAGGAAGCAGGCUGAGAGCAAGAACCAGAAGCAGAUUAGAUGCCUCUCCCAGAAUCCCAUGAGAAGUAAUCUCAAUAUCAGCAUCAUCAUUCCUCACUUUUGUGCAGCUUCAUCGUUCUCAAACUUUGCCCCUCAAAAGCCCUCGGAGUCUGCAAGCCAGGUGCCAAUAUUCCAAGGCUAAAGACCAAUAAUUAGUCAUUGUCAAAAUAAUAGAAA